GCUUCCGGCUCCGAGCGGGCGGGGCGAGAGAGCAUGCGCAGUGAGGUGCGUCGCCGGCGGCCGCUCCCGUCCCGCCGUCCGGGAAGGGCUGGGACGGGGCUCCGCAGCCACAAAGGUCUCCCGCGCCCCGGGGAGGACGAUCUGAUUGAAAACGUCAGCGGCACUCAACCAUUCUUAUAACUUGACUGCUUUUCGGGGUGGAAAAAAGCAGUAUCAGACUGGAGGUGGGCAGGCCGGGGACGGCUGAACAAAGGUUUGCAGCCUGGCGCUUCUGCCUUUGUGCCGAGGUUUUAUUCAUUCACACUUGCGCAUUUUGAUAUUUCCCUCUGGGGGAGCUUAAGAGUAUACCAUUCUGCGAGCAGGAUUACGCCGAGGAUUAAGGACCAAAAUGUUUAAUGUAAAAAGAAGGUUAAAAACUGGAAAGCCUUGAAGGAUGGUUUUCAAACUUAAGCGUGCAUCAGAAUUACCUGGAAGGCUUGUUACAACCCAGAAUGCUGGGCCACACCCCGGAGUUCUCUGCUUAGGUGGUCUGGAGUGGGGCCUGGUGAUUUGUUUUUCUACUCCGUUCCUAGGUGAUGGUCUACUCUGGGGAAACUGAAAGUUUAAUAGCUGUCCUCUCGACCAGGCUUAUCUUCUGAUAAAGCUGCUUAUAUGAGGCUGUAAUAAAAAAAAUAUCAUCCUUAAGAAAGGAUGUCUAAUUCACUCCAGAAGAUCACAUAGUGUGGUAUUGACUGGCCUGGGGGAUGGAAUGUGGGUUUUUCAUUCAUUUGAUUAAAAUAUAUAUAUAUUGCU